rnacentral:rRNA from 1 species
CAUUCCUACGGGGCGCAGCAGUGAGGAAUAUUGGUCAAUGGGCGAGAGCCUGAACCAGCCAAGUCGCGUGAGGGAGUACUGCCCUAUGGGUUGUAAACCUCUUUUGUCGGGGAGCAAAAGCCGGACGUGUCCGGCUGUGAGAGUACCCGAAGAAAAAGCAUCGGCUAACUCCGUGCCAGCAGCCGCGGUAAUACGGAGGAUGCGAGCGUUAUCCGGAUUUAUUGGGUUUAAGGGUGGGGAGGGCGGUUUUUUA